GUGGGGUUAUAGCUCAAUGGUAGAGUGCUUGCCUAGCGUGUGUGAGGCACUGGGUUCAAUUCUCAGCACCACA
rnacentral:tRNA from 1 species